GGUGGCUGCAUGGCUGUCGUCAGCUCGUGUCGUGAGAUGUUGGGUUAAGGUACCCGCCAACGAGCGCAACCCUUGCCUUUAGUUGCCAGCAGUUCGGCUGGGCACUCUAAAGGGACUGCCGGUGUUAAACCGGAGGAAGGUGGGGAUGACGUCAAGUCCUCAUGGCCUUUAUGACCAGGGCUACACACGUACUACAAUGGCCGAUACAAAGGGCAGCGACACUGCGAGGUGAAGCCAAUCCCGUAAAAUCGGUCUCAGUCCGGAUUGGAGUCUGCAACUCGACUCCAUGAAGUUGGAAUCGCUAGUAAUCGUGGAUCAGCAUGCCACGGUGAAUACGUUCCCGGGCCUU
rnacentral:rRNA from 1 species